AGCUUUGCGCAGUGGCAGUAUCGUAGCCAAUGAGGUUUAUCCGAGGCGCGAUUAUUGCUAAUUGAAGUUCCAUGUGCCUUUCAGAAGAAUAAGUAUUCUGUUGUUUUAAGGUGGAAUAUUCUGUAUGUAUUAUGCAAACAAUGAAU